rnacentral:rRNA from 1 species
CCUACGGGAGGCAGCAGUGAGGAAUAUUGGUCAAUGGGCGCGAGCCUGAACCAGCCAAGUCGCGUGAGGGAAGACGGUCCUAUGGAUUGUAAACCUCUUUUGUCGGGGAGCAAAAGACGCCCCUCUUGGCGUUCCACGAGUACCCGAAGAAAAAGCAUCGGCUAACUCCGUGCCAGCAGCCGCGGUAAUACGGAGGAUGCGAGCGUUAUCCGGAUUUAUUGGGUUUAAAGGGUGCGCAGGCGGAAGAUUAAGUCAGCGGUAAAAUCGAGGGGCUCAACCCCUUCGAGCCGUUGAAACUGGUGUUCUUGAGUGAGCGAGAAGUAUGCGGAAUGCGUGGUGUAGCGGUGAAAUGCAUAGAUAUCACGCAGAACUCCGAUUGCGAAGGCAGCAUACCGGCGCUCAACUGACGCUCAGGCACGAAAGCGUGGGUAUCGAACAGGAUUAGAUACCCUAGUAGUC